rnacentral:tRNA from 1 species
UAUUAGCUCAGUUGGCUAGAGCAGUUGACUCUUAAUCAAAAGGUCCUGGGUUCGACUCCCAGAU